GAACUGUCCUUGUCAGUGUGCCUGUCAUCACUAUCAGCAUCGUCACUAACAGAAACCCCAUCAUUCUCUUUAAAGCCCAGGACCCACACUCUUCGGGCCUUGAAAAAGGCCUGGGUAUUUUCGUACCAGGUAUGUGAUAAAGAGUAGUAGAAGAAACAUUCCAUUGACUUCGGAGUCAGACUGAGUUGGAUUUAAAUUCUACUCCUGCUGCUUACAAGCCUGUGAGUUUGGAUGAAUCAAUUAACCUCAUCGAACCUCAGUUUCAGCUUCUAUAAAAGGUACCAUUAUUCUCUUUUUACUGGACAAAGAAAUUGGCCCAGAGAGAUUAAGCCACUUACCCCAGGUAACACAGCUAAGUGACAUUCAAACUCAGGUAGUGUGUUUCCA